CGGGGGCGCACAAUAGGGGCUACCUUUGCAGUGCAAGAGAAAGACAGUUCGAAUUCGUUUAAAACAAAUUCGGGGGACCUGCCCGUGAAGCCCCCUUGCACGAUUCUCCCUCCCUUUCUUUACAAAAAGGGGAUUCGGCCGCUUACUUCCUUGAUGUCGGCAGAAUUCUGCAGGAUUUAAACUGUGUAAACGAAAGCAUCCUGACCUCAGCCUUCCUAGCCAACCUAACCGGCAGGAUAGUUCGCAGCCGCAGCCGUAGCGAGCGAUCAUGGAACGGGGGAACCGAUCCACUGUGAAGGUUACUCUGAGCAGAAAUAGCGAGAGAAACACAAAUGCUCUAUCGCACCCCCGACCUCUGCACACAUAAUGUGUGUCUUUCGAGAAGAAAAGAGCCCCUUUCCGCUCCCUCACGCUAUGAGAACGGAGGCAAAGAGAAAAGCGCUACCGAGCUGAUAACCCGCAAUGGCUGAAUCCGAACGGGAGCAGCUGAUCACCCUAGCCGGGAAUGAGAUGUCAAAAACUGUUGCAUGGACUUAGAUCUGAGAAGGUGUCUUCUUAGCACUCUAAAAUAGCAAGAGGCGCGAAUUUCUUGCAAACGUGUGUUCCCAGGCCGACAGGAACAUUUCGCCUGGGUCUCUCCUUUAGCCGCGGUGAGAGGCUUUCUUUGCACUGAUCGAAACUUAUGCCCGGCCUCGAUGCCGCCCGGCGGAGGAGCCCGGGGUUUCAUCCCGACCCCAGCCGGAGCCCCGGGGCUCGGCUUUGCCGAGGGCUUUCUCGGGAAGCGCCUUACCUCUCGGCGCAGUCAUUACCGCGCACUACGCAGUGUGAGAGACCGCCAGUGUCAACACAAUCAUUGUGAAAUAUGAGUGAAAUAAAAAGCCAGUUUUAUCGUAAUGCUUCCUGUAUUAACCGGGACGCAGACCAUCUGAAGCAAGGAGGGGCGGCCGUGUCGCUUCCUAGGAGCCUUUCAUUGCACCUAACUGAUUCGUGUCCACAAGUGAGUGACAAGAUAGCGCUGCAGUUAUCUGCAAAUCUCCCUUUCGGCUGUGCCUCGGACGUCUCCUUGCAGACAGCAGCCCAUGUAGGAAUCUGCAGGCCCUCGCCGUUCUCCUUCAAGACAGGAACCGGUUCACCCAAAUUCCUGCCCUGCAUCUUUACGCAAGCCCCUACGAGCACUACCUCUGCGGACCCUCUCAGCCAUUUCACAGAGGCACAAAUGCCACUGGCUAGACUCGGGACAAACCUCCGUCGGAGAAGUGGGAGGCAAAGGGAUCAAGGCCCACCGCCCUUCACCCACUCGCACACGGCUGAGGACACGGGAGCUCCCUGCGUGGACACGGGGCAUCCUCGUGGGGCGUCUUUAUCGGCAGGAUCCACGAGCAAAUGAUAACCCCCACAAUCCUCACAUACCAGUAAGAAACACAUCUUUCCCGCAUAUGUCCACUACCGUGGCAAGGACUGUAGAGAGAGCGAGCAAAUGACAACUCCGAGUUUUCGUUUCUUUCUUUAAUUUAAAAUUUUAUUUUCUCUCCCUUGG